CAGCCGUAAACUAUGCGCGUUAGGUGUAUCGGUGACCACGAGUUACCGAGGUGCCGAAGGGAAACCGUGAAACGUGCCGCCUGGGAAGUACGGUCGCAAGGCUGAAACUUAAAGGAAUUGGCGGGGGAGGCACCACAACAGGUGGAGCCUGCGGUUUAAUUGGACUCAACGCCGGGAAGCUCACCGGAUAGGACAGCAGAAUGAUUGCCGGGCUGAAGACCCUGCAUGACCAGCUGAGAGGAGGUGCAUGGCGUAGUCGUGU
rnacentral:rRNA from 1 species